ensembl:lncRNA novel transcript
AGAAAUGGCUUUGCUGGGGACCCAGAGAACCAACAGGGCUUUUCCCGCUGCUUCCUCUACCCCUGUGUUUCGCUAGGCUCUCUAAAUUGACUCAGCUCCAGGUGUCAACUCGACUGAACUGGGGGAUGCUUCUGGAUGUGUCUGUGAGGGUGUUUCCAGAAGAGAUUAACCUGUGAGUCAGUGGACUGACAGAAGAAGACCCACUCUCAAUGUGGGCAGGCACCGUACGAUCAGUUGGGGGCCUAGGGAUGAGAAAAAACAGGGGAAAAAAGAGGUGAUUGGUGAUUCUCUCUAUCUCCCUCCCUCUUCUCUCUUUCCCUCCAUCCCUUUCUCCUCCCCCGACACUCCUUUCCUGGAGCAGGAUACUUGUUCUCCUUCUGCCUUUGGACACAAGACUCCAAGUUUUUCAGCUUUUGGACUCAGCAACUUGCACCAGAGGUU